rnacentral:rRNA from 1 species
UGGGGAAUAUUGCACAAUGGGCGCAAGCCUGAUGCAGCCAUGCCGCGUGUGUGAAGAAGGCCUUCGGGUUGUAAAGCACUUUCAGCGGGGAGGAAGGCGUUAAGGUUAAUAACCUUGGCGAUUGACGUUACCCGCAGAAGAAGCACCGGCUAACUCCGUGCCAGCAGCCGCGGUAAUACGGGGGGUGCAAGCGUUAAUCGGAAUUACUGGGCGUAAAGCGCACGCAGGCGGUCUGUCAAGUCGGAUGUGAAAUCCCCGGGCUCAACCUGGGAACUGCAUCUGAUACUGGAAAGCUUGAGUCUCGUAGAGGGAGGUAGAAUUCCAGGUGUAGCGGUGAAAUGCGAAGAGAUCUGGAGGAAUACCGGGGGCGAAGGCGGCACCCUGGGCGAAGACUGACGCUCAGGUGCGAAAGCGUGGGGAGCAAACAGG